UUGCUUUCUUUGCCGGCGACCGGCGCACGGGUGAGUAACACGUAUCCAACCUGCCCUUUACUCGGGGAUAGCCUUUCGAAAGAAAGAUUAAUACCCGAUGGGAUAAUUAUUCCGCAUGGUUUGAUUAUUAAAGGAUUCCGGUAAAGGAUGGGGAUGCGUUCCAUUAGGUUGUUGGUGAGGUAACGGCUCACCAAGCCUUCGAUGGAUAGGGGUUCUGAGAGGAAGGUCCCCCACAUUGGAACUGAGACACGGUCCAAACUCCUACGGGAGGCAGCAGUGAGGAAUAUUGGUCAAUGGGCGCUAGCCUGAACCAGCCAAGUAGCGUGAAGGAUGAAGGCUCUAUGGGUCGUAAACUUCUUUUAUAUAAGAAUAAAGUGCAGUAUGUAUACUGUUUUGUAUGUAUUAUAUGAAUAAGGAUCGGCUAACUCCGUG
rnacentral:rRNA from 1 species